rnacentral:ncRNA from 2 species
CGGCGUUCUCAGGGCGGGGCGAAAUUCCCCACCGGCGGUAUGCGGGCAUGGACCCGUAAGCCCGCGAGCGGCCCCGCAGCGUCCACAAUCCGAAAAGUGGGAACCGGUUUUCGGACAGAUCGUGGAACCACCAAGGGGUGUCAGCAGAUCUGGUGAGAGGCCAGAGCCGACGGUUAUAGUCCGGAUGAAAGAGAAUGCGC